UACUAGAGUAGCACUCGCAUAUCAAUAAGCGGAGGAAAAGAAACUAACAAGGAUUCCCCUAGUAACGGCGAGUGAAGCGGGAAGAAGCUCAAAUUUGAAAUCUUAAAGGGUUUCCCUUUACGAAUUGUAGUUUAAAGAAGUGUUUUCUGUUGAGGUUUUGGUAAAAGUUCUUUGGAAUAGGACAUCAUAGAGGGUGAGAAUCCCGUAUUUGACCUUUACUUUCAACUUUGUGAUACACUUUCAAAGAGUCGGAUUGUUUGGGAAUGCAGUCCAAAAUGGGUGGUAAAUUUCAUCUAAAGCUAAAUAUUGGCGAGAGACCGAUAUGCGAACAAGUACCGUGAGGGAAAGAUGAAAAGAACUUUGAAAAGAGAGUUAAACAGUACGUGAAAUUGUCAAAAGGGAAGCGUUUGACACCAGUGUUGUUUUUCUGAAAAUCAAUUAAAGAACUGUUUAUGCUAAGCUGUUUAGACUUUAUCAGCUAUCUGUUUAGUUUUGAGCUUUUCUUUAAUGCACUUUUCAGUUAACAAGUCAACAUCAAUUUCUUUUGCUGUAAAAAAGCUUGAGGAAGGUGGCUUGAGAUUCGUCUUAAGUGUUUAUAGCCUCUUGCCUAUGCAGUCGGAGAGAUUGAGGUCUGCAGCGUAGAUCCUUCGGGGCUAAAUGCAUUUGUGCUAAGUUAUAGCAUUUUAUAGACAACUUGUUGACUAUGAUUUGUCUUGUAGCUUACUCGCUUAUGUUAUUUUACCUACGCUUAGGAUGUUGAGUCAUCACACAUCUCU
rnacentral:rRNA from 1 species